rnacentral:rRNA from 1 species
AGUUUGAUCAUGGCUCAGGAUGAACGCUGGCGGCGUGCUUAACACAUGCAAGUCGAACGGUGAAAGAGAGCUUGCUCUCUGGAUCAGUGGCGAACGGGUGAGUAACACGUGAGCAAUCUGCCCCUGACUCUGGGAUAAGCGUUGGAAACGACGUCUAAUACCGGAUACGAGCUGCGAAGGCAUCUUCAGCAGCUGGAAAGAACUUCGGUCAGGGAUGAGCUCGCGGCCUAUCAGCUAGUUGGUGAGGUAACGGCUCACCAAGGCGUCGACGGGUAGCCGGCCUGAGAGGGUGACCGGCCACACUGGGACUGAGACACGGCCCAGACUCCUACGGGAGGCAGCAGUGGGGAAUUUUGGAUAAUGGGGGCAACCCUGAUCCAGCCAUGCCGCGUGCGGGAAGAAGGCCUUCGGGUUGUAAACCGCUUUUAGCCGGGACGAAAGCUGUACGGAUAACACCCGUGCGGGUUGACGGUACCGGCGGAAUAAGCACCGGCUAACUACGUGCCAGCAGCCGCGGUAGUCGGGCCCAAUCGCC